rnacentral:rRNA from 1 species
AUUGAACGCUGGCGGCAUGCUUUACACAUGCAAGUCGGACGGCAGCGGGGUAGUGCUUGCACUACUGCCGGCGAGUGGCGAACGGGUGAGUAAUAUAUUGGAACGUACCGAGUAAUGGGGGAUAACCAAUCGAAAGAUUGGCUAAUACCGCAUACGCUCUGAGGAGGAAAGCAGGGGACCUUCGGGCCUUGCGUUAUUCGAGCGGCCAAUAUCUGAUUAGCUAGUUGGUGGGGUAAGGGCCUACCAAGGCGACGAUCAGUAGCGGGUCUGAGAGGAUGAUCCGCCACACUGGGACUGAGACACGGCCCAGACUCCUACGGGGGGCAGCAGUGGGGAAUUUUGGACAAUGGGCGCAAGCCUGAUCCAGCCAUGCUGCGUGUCUGAAGAAGGCCUUCGGGUUGUAAAGGACUUUUGUUAGGGAAGAAAAAGGAGCGGUUAAUACCCGUUUCUGCUGACGGUACCUAAAGAAUAAGCACCGGCUAACUACGUG